GGUCCUUGCACAACGUUUGCACAGCGCUCGCGCUGCACCUGCAGCAGGUUUGCGUGACGUUUGCAGCGGGGUCGCGGCGCGUUUGCACGGCGCUCGCAGUGAACUCGCAGGGCGUUUGCUGUGCGUUGGCAGCUUUUCCGCCGUGCGUUUGCAGCCCGUUUGCAGUGAGUUUGCAGCGCCCGUGUGCAGCAUUAGCAGAGCAUUUCCAGUGCAAUCACACUGCCUUUGCGUUGCGUUUGCACUGUGCUCCCAGCGCAAUUGCACAAUAUUUGCAGCAGAAUCGCGCAGUAUUUGCAGCGCGAUCACCCAGCCUUCGGAGUGCCUCUGCGGCGUGUUUCCAGUGCAAUCGCACUGUAUUUGUGGUGCUAUCGCACAUCUUUUGCAGCGCAUUUGCGAUGUGUCGCCAGUGCAAUCGCACAGUAUUUGCAGUGCAAUUGCACCUGUUUGGCAGUGGCAUCACACGAACUUUGCAGUGCGUCGGUGGCAUAUUUCCAGUGCAAUCGCACAGCAUUUGUGGUGUAAUUGCACAACUUUUGCAGUGCACUCGCAGCAUGUUCCCAGUGCAAUUGCAUGGCAUUUGCAGUGCAAUCGCACAACUUUUGCAGUGCAAUCGCACAAACUUUGCAGUGCGAUAGCACAACUUUUGCAGUGCGUUUGCAGCGUGUUGCCAGUGCAAUAGCACAGUGUUUGCAGUGCAAUUGCACAACCUUUGCAGUGCAAUCGCCCUGUAUUUGCAGUGCAAUCGCACAACCUCUGCAGUGCGUUCGCAGCGUGUUGCCAGUGCAAUCGCACAGUGUUUUCAGUGCAAUCGCCCUGUGUUUGCAGUGCAAUCGCACAACCUUUGCAGUGCAAUUGCACAACUUCUGCAGCGCGUUCGCGGCGUGUUGCCGGUGCAAUCACACGGUGUUUGCAGUGCAAUCGCACAACCUCUGCAGCGCGUUUGCAGCGUGUUGCCAGUGCAAUCGCCCUGUGUUUGCAGUGCAAUCGCACAACCUCUGCAGUGCAAUUGCACAACCUCUGCAGCGCGUUUGCAGCGUGUUGCCAGUGCAAUAGCACAGUGUUUGCAGUGCAAUCGCACAACCUCUGCAGUGCAAUCGCAUGACCUUUGCAGUG
ensembl:lncRNA